CUCAACCCCUUCCCCCCAUCAAUCUUCACACCAAGCAAAGCCCAUAGCUGUUAAUAAACACAACAAAAAUCUCAGCUAGCUAGCUUUUCCCCUCCAUUAAAAUCCAUGGCUUCCACCAUUAGCAAGAAGAUGACCUUGGCUAUCCUUGCUCUCGCACUAUUCUCCUCUUGCUUACAUGCCACACUAGGGGAAAUAAUAUGUGAACACCUUGACCAAGACACCUGUGCUUACGCGGUGGCGUCCACAGGCAAGCGCUGUGUGCUCGAGAAGCACGUCAAGAGGAGCGGUGAAGAAGAAUACACUUGCCGUACCUCCGAGAUCGAAGCCGAUAAGAUCAACAACUGGAUCGAAACUGAUCAGUGCGUUAAAUCGUGCGGCCUCGACCGGAAAUCAUUCGGUAUCUCCUCCGAUUCCCUCCUCGAGUCUCGCUUCACCGAAAUGCUUUGCUCUCCUCAAUGCUACAACGGUUGCCCCAACAUCAUCGAUCUUUACUUCAACCUCGCCGCCGGAGAAGGUAUUUUUCUUCCGAAAUUAUGUGAAGCACAAAAAGGAAACAUACGUAGAGGAAUGUCGGAGAUUUGGAGCUCCGGUAUGGUUGCCCCGGGACCCGUCGGCGGUGUGAAGUUUUGGGGAGUUGCUCCGGCAAUGGCCCCAUACUAAAAGCUUUCGGGAAAUUUUCAUAAAGUUGUAGUAGUUUUGAAAUAAAGGGAAAGUUGCACUAUAGCUAAGGGUUUUUCUUAAAGCCGGGUUCUUUAAGUGCAUGAACCGGCGUAUAAUUUGGUUCGUGCAUAAUUUUGAGCCAUGAGCUUGGUGUGUUCAACCCAAUAAGAUGCCACUUUCUAUUAAAUAGGUUUGCUUAUUGUAAUGGGUGUGAAAAAGAAACAAUGUUAUGAAUUUUAUAUAAGUAUACUUAUAUUUGUGUGAUUUAUUCUAAAUUUGCAAC